rnacentral:rRNA from 1 species
UACGUAGGUGACAAGCGUUGUCCGGAUUUACUGGGCGUAAAGAGCGCGCAGGCGGUCGAUCAAGUCGAGUGUGAAAGCCCCCGGCUCAACUGGGGAGGGUCAUUCGAUACUGAUCGACUCGAAGGCAGGAGAGGGUAGUGGAAUUCCCGGUGUAGUGGUGAAAUGCGUAGAUAUCGGGAGGAACACCAGUGGCGAAGGCGGCGAUCUGGGAAGAUACUGACGCUGAGGUGCGAAAGCGUGGGGAGCAAACAGGG